rnacentral:rRNA from 1 species
UACGGAGGGUGCGAGCGUUAUCCGGAUUCACUGGGUUUAAAGGGUGCGUAGGUGGGCAGGUAAGUCAGUGGUGAAAUCUCCGGGCUUAACCCGGAAACUGCCAUUGAUACUAUCAGUCUUGAAUACCGUGGAGGUAAGCGGAAUAUGUCAUGUAGCGGUGAAAUGCUUAGAUAUGACAUAGAACACCAAUUGCGAAGGCAGCUUACUGCCCGAAUAUUGACACUGAGGCACGAAAGCGUGGGGAUCAAACAGG